UACGAAGGGGGCUAGCGUUGCUCGGAAUCACUGGGCGUAAAGGGUGCGUAGGCGGGUCUUUUAAGUCAGGGGUGAAAUCCUGGAGCUCAACUCCAGAACGUGCCUUUGAUACUGGUGAUCUUGAGUCCGGGAGAGGUGGAGUGGGAACUUGCGAGUGGUAGAGGUGAAAUUCGUAGAUAGUUCGCAAGAACACCAGUCGGCGAAGGCGGCUCACUGGCC
rnacentral:rRNA from 1 species